GGAAGUCGGUUAUGCAAGGGGAAGAUAUUACAUCCCAAACAUCCAUGGUACUCCAUGGGAACCGUUGUGAUUGUUCUCGCUCGAAUAGGUGUUAUAACUAAAGAUUACUCGCAAAAGAAAUGGGGAAGGAAAAGGAAAUAGAUAAAGUGCUCGGUGAGGAUUAGGGCCCUCAUGCCUACGUAUCCUCAUAGUGCAAUGAGGAAUUCAGAGCUUCGUAG
rnacentral:lncRNA from 1 species